ensembl:lncRNA
GCAGCAUGUCAGUCUGGUGUGAAAAGACAGCUGGCAGAACUGUGCGCUGCAGAGGGGGAGGCUCCAACCCGGGCCCUUCCGAGAGUGACAGAGGCGUUAUCGUGAUUAACCUAGGCCGUGGGCCAGGCCUGCCCUGGGCGAACUGGAAUAUCACGUCACCCUAGCUUGAGGUCCCUGUGGUCCAUGGAGAGCCCCAGGGAGUUGGAAAGGCUUAGGGAGAGUUGCGUAUGCACGUGUCCAGGCUGUUCCUGUCCAGAAUUUUUCUCCUGGGCCAGUUACAAGAUGGGGAAGGACAGGCAGGAGGAGAGGCCAGGGAGGGAAUGCUGUCCGGCCCGUCUCUCUGUGGGCAUCCCCCCACCAGGCUUGGGAUUCCCCUGAGGAGCCAGCCCCGGGUGGAAACCUGAGGGGCUGCUGCAGACACAGGGUGGUAUCUCUGACGUCUGAUCACAUGGGCCCUGGGGAGUGAUGCCCACAUCCCGGGUGGCCCUGGGGGCUGCAGCCUCCCUCCCCAGAAGGCCAGCAGGGCAGGGCUUGGCUGGCAGAGCCCCGAGACGCUCAGGGACGGUCCCAGCGCUGCUGGCCUCCCCUUCCCCGUGGGCACCCCUCUGUCUGGUGAGUGAUUCUGAAAGCUGGAGAUGAACAGCAAGGAAACCGCCAGGUGACACAGAAGAAUGGGAAAGAGGACCAAGAGAGGAAUACAGGCAGGGUGCAGGGGAAGCAGCAGGUUGUUGACUAAGAACGCAGAGAUUCUUGCUUCCUGGGGCCGUGGUCUCCUGCCCGAGGGAAGUCUGUGGCCCGGAGCCCAGAGCGGCGACCCUUGGGGGCCCUUUGGAACGUGUCGGGACGGGAGGAAGCAGCCAAGGCCGGAGCUGGGCCAGCAGGCUGGGCCUGCCCUCCCACCUUUCAGUGACCAGGGCCCACUCUGUGAUACAGGGGUCUCCCCACAGGGUCAGAAACAAGUCGCUUCAUGGAAACCCUCCUCCUCAUCGGCUGAGAAUCCUGCCACUCGCUAACAGUUUGCAGGGUAGAAAUGCCUUCCUGCAGGUCACAGCUCUGAAGGUGUUCGCUCCCAGUGACUAGUAAUUGCAUGGCACUGUGUGAGGAUGUUGGGCUCAGCAAAAUCUUCUUAGAGAUCCUCAUCGUGAAAAUAUGUUUUUUCCGCUUUAAUAGGUGAUGAGGUAAAAUGGUACUUCAUUUUAAUUUACAUUUCUUUGAAUACAAAUAAGAUUGACAAUCUUUCCGUAUUUAAUUCCUCUUCCGUGAACUGUCCGAUCAUGUCCUUCACACAUUUAUCUAUUAUAAUCGUAGGUGUUUAUUACUUUGUAUGAACUGUUUAUUUAGGAGAAAUCACUGCCCCGUUUGUUUCAAAUAUUUUUCCAGACUUUUCUCCUUAGCUGUUUUUCAUGGUUUUUAGUUUUACAUUUCCAUAGAGUCAGAUUUGUUGCUCUUAGCAAUUUCCAAGUUUAAAAUGUCAUUUUCUCUUUGACAAUCUAAGAACAUUCAGUUCUAUUCUUGUUAAAAAAUAAUUUCCUUUCGCCUUUCUUAACCCACUUGCAGUGUAACCUUUUUUUCAGAUUUCUUUUCAACAUUCC